CAGCACUUCAAACCUGUUUUGUGACCCUUCAUACAUUUGAUGAGGUUUUCAUUCAUAAAUCAUUGUUAAACUAGGUAAAAUGUAUCCCUUCAAGAGAUAUUUUAUUAAUAAAUAUGCUUCAUUUUGCCUGUAGGAAGCUUUAAGUGUGUCAAACUGUUGCACCCACGAUAAUGGAAUCGCCCAUAAGCAAGUUACUUCUCAUCC